ACCUACGGGGGGCAGCAGUGAGGAAUAUUGGUCAAUGGUCGGGAGACUGAACCAGCCAAGCCGCGUGAGGGAUGAAGGUACAGAGUAUCGUAAACCUCUUUUGUCAGGGAACAAAAGCGGGGACGUGUCCCCGGAUGAGUGUACCUGAAGAAAAAGCAUCGGCUAACUCCGUGCCAGCAGCCGCGGUAAUACGGAGGAUGCGAGCGUUAUCCGGAUUUAUUGGGUUUAAAGGGUGCGCAGGCGGUCUGUUAAGUCAGCGGUCAAAGCCCGGGGCUCAACCCCGGCCCGCCGUUGAAACUGGCAGU
rnacentral:rRNA from 1 species